CCUACGGGGCGCAGCAGUGAGGAAUAUUGGUCAAUGGGCGGAAGCCUGAACCAGCCAAGUCGCGUGAGGGAAUAAGGCCCUACGGGUCGUAAACCUCUUUUGCCGGGGAGCAAGGGCCGGGACGCGUCCCGGCCCGGAGAGUACCCGGAGAAAAAGCAUCGGCUAACUCCGUGCCAGCAGCCGCGGUAAUACGGAGGAUGCGAGCGUUAUCCGGAUUUAUUGGGUGUAAAGGGAGCGUAGACGGAAUUGCAAGUCUGAUGUGAAAAUCCGGGGCCCAACCCCGGAACUGCAUUGGAAACUGUAUU
rnacentral:rRNA from 1 species